UUAUUUUUUUAUUUUGCUGAUAAUUGAUUUUAUCAUGGUUAAUAUCUUCAUUUUUAUUUUAUUAUAUAUGCUAAUUUUGAUUUAAAAAUUUAUUAUUGCAGUAUUUUUUAUUGGUUAUUAAGUUAUUUUAGAUCCAGUAAUUGUAAUUAGGAUUGGUUAAAUUUGUGCCAGCAACUGCGGUUAUACAAAUGAUCCAAUUGAAGAUUUUUGAUUUAAAUUAAAUUUUGGUUAAAAUUUACAUAGUUCUUCAUUGAGUGAAAUCUUGAAUUAUUUUAAGUUUAUUUUUUAAAUUGAUAUUUAGAAAUUGAUUUAUUAAACUAGGAUUAGAUACCCUAUUAUUUUUAAUGUAUAUUAAUUGAUUUAGGUAGUAAUAGUUAUGUUCUUUAAACUUAAAGGAUUUGGCGGUGUUUUAGUCUAUUCAGAGGAACCUGUUCUAUAAUCGAUAUUCCACGUUUUAUCUUUCUUCUUGUUGUUAUCAGUUUGUAUAUCUCCGUUAUCAGAUUAUCUUUUUAGAGUUAAAAAUUUUCUUUUUCUUUAUUAAAGGUUAUUUCAGGUCAAGGUGCAGCUUAUCAAGAAGUGUGAAAUGGGUUACAAUAAAUUUAUUUAUAGCGGAUUUUAUUUGUAAUAAAAUGUUGAAGAUGGAUUUGAGAGUAAAAUUUUUUUAUUAAAAAUAUUUGAUUUUAGCUCUAAAACAUGUACACAUCGCCCGUCGCUCUCGUUAAUAAAAUGAGAUAAGUCGUAACAAAGUAGGUGUACCUGAAGGUGUGCCUAGAAUAUUAAU
rnacentral:ncRNA from 1 species